AUGGGGACCAUCCUGACUUUCGUGGAGCCAGUGGUGGUCAUCAAUAAACUGGGGACAUCUUUUUUCGAACUGGCCUUUACACAGACCAUAUACAACCACUCGCUGAAGACAACAGAUGGAGACAGCGAUCGUGCACAGACGUUAUCCUCUCGCUUCCUUCUUAUUCAAAGCCUAGUGUCCUCUGUGGCUGCCAUGCUGUCCAUCAUACCCCUGAGCCGUAUCGCUGACCGUCACGGGCCUAAAUUCUUCCUGGUCGCCUCUCAGAUCGGAUCUGUUUUGGGCAUGUUUAUGCUUCUCAUCUUCAUGUACAGCGAGGUUCCUCUGGAGUUUCUGUAUUUGGGUUCAUUGCUGCACGGUCUGAGUGGAGGUGGGCCGAUGUUCUGGGCCGGGGUGGCUGCGCUGGCGGCCUUGAGUUCGGAGCAGGGCAAACGCACUCUUAAACUGAACAUCGUGGACUUUUGUUUUGGAGUUGCAGGGGUUGUGGGAGGUCUCCUGUCUGGGUAUCUGUAUCAGAUAGGACCUUCGGUUCUCCUCUCUAUAGCGAUUCUGCUCAGUGUGGUGGCAGUGCUUUACUCCGUGUUUCUCCUCUCUGAUGUGAGAUCUUCUGAGUCCGAGAGUGAGCCGUUGUUGUCUCAGUCUGAGAGCGUGAACCGGAUGGACAAAAUCUCUGUAGGUAUGCUGAUGGUGGCCAUGAUGGUCUUUAUGGUAGGCAUGAUCGGAGCGGAGAAUGUUCUCCAGCUGUAUGUGCUGAAGCCUCCUCUCAGCUGGGAUUCGGUGUGGGCAGGAUAUGGUCGUGCUGCCACCAGUGCCAUGUACCUCAGCAGCUUCCUAGGGGUCCUGGUUCUGUAUAAUGUGUUAGGGGACACAGCGCUCACUCUUUUGGGUGUUGUGUCCAAUUGUACUGGGAUGGCUAUCAUGGCAUUUGCCACUGAUAGUUGGGUCUACUUCCUGGGUAAGUUCAUUUGAAGGUAUAAAAUAUAUUAAAAUAAUGUAUUUGCUUUUAAGAAUUAGGAAUGAUGAAAAAUAUAUAUUUACACAUAUAUAUAAGAUAUUUUUAAAUGUCAUGCAUUAAAUGUCCCAACCACCAGGUGUCACUGAAACGGUGUACUGAUAAAUCACACUUGUCUCUGUGACGGCACUCUCUAAACAGCAUACAAAAGCCAGGGAGAUGGUCAAAAAACCUGCACUCUUGUUUCAACCCAUGGUUGGGUAUGGACAAACCCAACAGUUGGUUUAAAUAAAAAAAAAAUUCACAUCUGAACCAACUAUUGGUUGAAACAACCCAUCAUAAGGCGUUUUAAAGGUGCACUGUGUAACUUUUAGAAGGACAUCUUGACAGAAAUGCAAUAUAAUAUACAUAACUAUAUUAUCAGUGGUGUAUAAAGACCUUACACAAUCAACUGUAUUGUUUAUAUUAGCUUAGAAUGAGCCGUUUUUAUCUACAUACACCGCGGGUCCCCUUACAUGGAAGUCGCCAUCAUGUUUCUACAGUAGCCCUAAAUGGACAAAUUAUCCUACAAAGUGAGUUUUGUUGCUAUAUUGUCUAAGAUGAUGACAUGUUUGUCCUGUGGCAGCUAUCGUAGCUUCAAUAUGUGUUUCGAAAAGGAGGGGUGAGCAAUUGUUGGUUGCAUUUCACAGUCUCACCACUAGAUGCCGCUAAAAGUCCCACAUUGUACCUUUAUACUCAACAUUUGGGUUUGUCCAUAUUUUACCCAACAAUGGAACAACCCAGCAUUUUUUUUUUUUGCAUUUUUGCCUUUGAGAAAGGCGCUUUAUAAAAUAAAGUUCAUUAUUAUUAUUAUUAUAAUUUGAGUGUAGCCAAAUUUUCACUGUUUGUCAAUCACUUCGGGAUUGCUGAUGUUAUUGAAAGGCAGAACGUGUGGUUGCAUGGAAGGCAAGGGGGUCUAAUUCAGUGAGUCAGUAAAAUGACUGAAAAUGCUAAUAGCAUCUUUAAUGUUUCAAGAAAACCUGCCUUUAAAACAUUCUAACACAUUUUGAAGUUUUUAGUGUUUCUGGCAUGUUUGUGCAUUUAGAUGUGUUGUUUCAAACAGCCAGAGGAAUCAUGAUGUUAGCCUGUGUUCCCAUGCCAACACUGCGAGCAAUGCUGUCCAAGAAUCUGCAUCCCCAGCAAUACGGCCGAGUCUUCGGGCUGCUCCAGCUGGUUCUGGCUGUGACUGAACUUCUGUCUAAUGUCUUUUUCACCUCCAUCUACCCGCUGACUCUCGGCUGGUUUGCUGGAUUGUGCUUCCUUCUCUCCGGUGGCAUUAGUUACAUGAGUGCCGCCCCAAUCCUUUAUUUAUAUGGCAGGAACCCAAGACAUGAAGCCAUUUAAGAGAAUGAACAUUAUUAUGAGGACAUCUACUGUAUAUUGACAUUAUCUAUGAUUUCCUAAAUGUUCCACUGACUUUUACUAUCUAGUGCAUGAAAUAAGAUUUAACUGCAAAAACUCAAUGUACAGUAAUGCCAAAAAAUUGGAGAUUGUUGUGGAUGUGUUACUAUUGCUUAAGGUUCUGGGUUCGAUUCACAGUGAACACACAAACUGCUAUAAAAGAUUUAACAAGUCAUGGCUUAGUGGUUAGAGAGUCGGGCUUGCAACCUGAAGGUGCUGGUUUAAUUCUCACAACCAGCAGGUUGCGCCUAAGGCCCUUAAAGGUGUAGCGGAGGAUUUUCUUGAAUUUUAGAAAAGAACCGCCUUCUUCACUUUUUAAAAAAAUGCAGUUGCGCAACACUCCUGAUUGACAACUAGAAGGACCAAUAGUCUUGAUGAUCCACCCGGAAAAAGAAAAUCCUCUGCAAUACCUUUAAUCAAGGCAUUAUUCCCCCAAAUUGUCACUUUCCAA